GCUUACGGCCAUACCACCUUAGGCACGCCCGAUCUCGUCUGAUCUCGGAAGCUAAGCAGGGUCGGGCCUGGUUAGUACUUGGUUGGGUGACCGCCUGGGAAUACCAGGUGCUGUAAGCA
ensembl:rRNA 5S_rRNA 5S ribosomal RNA